CCUGGUGGUCUUACCGCGAGGGCCACACCCGUUCCCAUCCCGAACACGGAAGUUAAGCCUCGCUGGGCCGAUGAUACUGCGCUGGAAACGACGCGGGAACGUAGGUCGCCGCCAGGA
rnacentral:rRNA from 1 species